rnacentral:lncRNA from 1 species
GUUUGGAUUAGGAUUUAGGGUUUGAUUAGGAUUUGAUUUAGGAUUUGGAUUAGGGUUUGAUUUAAGGUUUGGUUUAGGAUUUAGGGUUUGAAUUAGGAUUUAGGAUUGGAUUAGAGUUUAGAUUAGGGCUUAGGUUUUGAAAUAGGGUUUGAUUUAUGGUUUAAUUUAAGGUUUGUUUAGGAUUUAACUUAGGGUUUAGGAUUUAUUAGGGUUUAAGAUUUAAUUAGGUUUGGUCUAAAGUUUGAAAAAAAUUCAAUAGGAUUUUAAUUAGAAUUAACUUAAUAUUGAAUUGACAUAUAUUUGAGUAAUAUUUGUGAUCAUUCUAAUAUAUCUUUAGGAAUUUUAUUAUUUAUUUGAAAUUUCUUUGAGUUUUUUUGAAUUUGAUUGCGUUUGAUUACCAUUAUUAUAGUCUAAUUAGAGCAUUCUUAGUAU